UACGUAGGGUGCGAGCAUUGUCCGGAAUUAUUGGGCGUAAAGGGCUCGUAGGCGGUUCGUCACGUCGGGAGUGAAAACUCGGGGCUUAACCCCGAGCCUGCUUCCGAUACGGGCAGACUAGAGGUAGGCAGGGGAGAGCGGAACUCCUGGUGUAGCGGUGGAAUGCGCAGAUAUCAGGAAGAACACCGGUGGCGAAGGCGGCUCUCUGGGCCUUACCUGACGCUGAGGAGCGAAAGCGUGGGUAGCAAACAGG
rnacentral:rRNA from 1 species